rnacentral:rRNA from 1 species
GAUUCGUCACACUAUCAUUAACUGAAUCCAUAGGUUAAUGAGGCGAACCGGGGGAACUGAAACAUCUAAGUACCCCGAGGAAAAGAAAUCAACCGAGAUUCCCCCAGUAGCGGCGAGCGAACGGGGAGGAGCCCAGAGCCUGAAUCAGCAUGUGUGUUAGUGGAAGCGUCUGGAAAGGCGCGCGAUACAGGGUGACAGCCCCGUACACAAAAGCGCAUGUGCUGUGAGCUCGAUGAGUAGGGCGGGACACGUGGUAUCCUGUCUGAAUAUGGGGGGACCAUCCUCCAAGGCUAAAUACUCCUGACUGACCGAUAGUGAACCAGUACCGUGAGGGAAAGGCGAAAAGAACCCCGGCGAGGGGAGUGAAAAAGAACCUGAAACCGUGUACGUACAAGCAGUGGGAGCACCCUUCGGGGUGUGACUGCGUACCUUUUGUAUAAUGGGUCAGCGACUUAUAUUCUGUAGCAAGG